rnacentral:tRNA from 1 species
GGCCGACUAGCUCAGUUGGUUAGAGCGUCGUGCUAAUACGGUUCAUUGAUAAAAGUGUUUAUGGUACAAUUUCACGCUCUUAUCGAUGGACUUGAUACGCGAAGGUCUUGGGUUCGAUCCCCACGUUGGCCA